GCCCGAUGGUAGGCAAAUCCGCCAACCUAGCUGAAGGUCGAUAGUACCGCGAGCCCUCGGGUAAGCGGAUAGCGCAGGUAAUCAGACUUCCAAGAAAAACCGCUAAGCUCCAGUCUAUAAAAACCCGUACCGCAAACCGACACAGGUAUCCGGGAAGAGAAUUCUAAGGUGCUCGAGUGAAUCAUGGCUAAGGAACUCGGCAAAAUGGCCCUGUAACUUCGGGAGAAGGGGCGCUGGUAGCAAUAUCAGCCGCAGUGAAAAGGCCCAGGCGACUGUUUAACAAAAACACAUGGCUUUGCAAAAUCGAAAGAUGAAGUAUAAGGCCUGACACCUGCCCGGUGCUGGAAGGUUAAGAGGGGAUGUUAGUCGCAAGCGAAGCAUUGAAUCGAAGCCCCAGUAAACGGCGGCCGUAACAAUAACGGUCCUAAGGUAGCGAAAUUCCUUGUCGGGUAAGUUCCGACCUGCACGAAUGGUGUAACGAUCUGGGCGCUGUCUCAGCCAUGAGCUCGGUGAAAUUGUGGUCCCGGUGAAGACGCCGGGUACCCGCAACGGGACGGAAAGACCCCAUGCACCUUCACUACAAUUUAACAUUGACAUUGGAUACAGGAUGUGUAGGAUAGGUGGGAGGCUUUGAAGCGGCGUCGCUAGGCGUCGUGGAGCCAUCGUUGAAAUACCACCCUUUCUGUAUUCGGUGUCUAAUCCCGCCAAGCGGGAGACAUUGUUUGAUGGGUAGUUUGACUGGGGUGGUCGCCUCCAAAAAGGUAACGGAGGCUUUCAAAGGUAAGCUCAGUACGCUUGGUAACCGUACGGGGAGUGCAAUAGCAUAAGCUUGCUUGACUGUGAGGCAGACAAGCCGAGCAGGGUCGAAAGACGGAUAUAGUGAUCCGGUGGUUCUGCAUGGAAGGGCCAUCGCUCAAAGGAUAAAAGGUACGCUGGAUAACAGGCUGAUCUCCCCCAAGAGCUCAUAUCGACGGGGAGGUUUGGCACCUCGAUGUCGGCUCGUCACAUCCUGGGGCUGGAGAAGGUCCCAAGGGUUCGGCUGUUCGCCGAUUAAAGUGGCACGCGAGCUGGGUUCAGAACGUCGCGAGACAGUUCGGUCCCUAUCUGUUGUGGGCGUAGGAAUUUUGAGUGGGGCUGACCUUAGUACGAGAGGACCGGGUUGGACUAGCCUCUAGUGAAUCUGUUGUUCCGCCAGGGGCAUUGCAGAGUAGCUACGCUGGGAAUAGAUAAGCGCUGAAAGCAUCUAAGUGCGAAACUAGCCACGAGAUGAGAAUUCCAUAUAGGGCCGUAGAAGACUACUACGUUGAUAGGAUAUAGAUGUAAAGGUGGCGACACCACAGUCGAGUAUUACUAAUAACUCA
rnacentral:rRNA from 1 species